rnacentral:tRNA from 2 species
GGUCCGGUAGCUCAAUUGGAUAGAGCGUCUGACUACGGAUCAGAAGGUUGGGGGUUCGACUCCUCCCCGGAUCA